rnacentral:rRNA from 1 species
GUUCGAUUAUGGCUCAUGAUUGAACGCUGGCAGGAUGCUUUGCAUACAGUCGAACGGCCAGCACGGACUUCGGUCUGGUGGCGAGUGGCGAACGGGUGAGUAAUGUAUCAGGGCAGUACCCUAUUGGCGGGGGAUAACUACGCGAAAGCGUAGCUAUUACCGCAUACCCUUCGAAGGCUUGGAGGACCUUGGAUAUCGCACUAUUAGAGCGGCCGAUAUCGGAUUAGCUAGUUGGUGGGAGUAACGGCUCACCAAGGCGACGAUCCGUAGCUGGUUUGAGAGGACGACCAACCACACUGGGACUGAGACACGGCCCGAACUCCUACGGGAGGCAGCAGUGGGGAAUUUGCGGAUAAUGGAAACCUGAUCCAGCCAUCCCGUGCGAUGAAGGCCUUCGGGUUGUAAGCACUUUUGGCAGGAAAGAAACGGCGCAGGAUAAUACCCCGUGCAACUGACAGUACCUGCAGAAUAGCCGCAAGCUAACUACGUGCCAGCAGCCGCGGUAAUACGUAGGGUGCAAGCGUUAAUCGGAAUUACUGGGCGAAAGUAAAGCGUGCACGAACGGUUCGAAAAAGAUGUGAAAUCCCAGAGCUUAACUUUGAGACUGCAUUUUUAACUACCGAGCUAGAGUGUCUGAAGGAGGUGGAAUUCCCGGCGAUGUAGCAGUGAAAUGCGUAGAUAUGCGGAGGAACACCGAUGGCGAAGGCAGCCUCCUGGGAUAACACUGACGCUCAUGCACAGCGUGGGAGCAAACAGGAUUAGAUACCCUGGUAGUCCACGCCUAAACGAUGUCAACUAGCUGUUGGGGCCUUUAGGCCUUGGUAGCUUUAAGCCUAACGCGUGAAGUUGACCGCCUGGGAGAGUACGGUCGCAAGAUUAAAACUCAAGGAAUUGACGGGGACCCGCACAAGCGGUGGAUGAUGUGGAUUAAUUCGAUGCAAAGCACUUGAAAACCUUACCUACCCUUGACAUGUCUGGAAUCCAGAGAUUUGGAGUGCUCGCAAGAGAACGGAAUUGCAGUGCUGUGGCUGUCGUCAGCUCGUGUCGUGAGAUGUUGGGUUAAGUCCCGCAACGAGCUGGCCGCAGUAGAGUAGGGUUGCACGAAAGAGGCACUCUAAUGAGACUGCCGGUGACAAACGGAGGAAGGUGGGGAUGACGUCAAGUCCUCGCCGGCCCAUAUGGGUAGGGCUUCACACGUCGCUGCAAUGGUCGGGACAGAGGGUCGCACCAGCCUGUGAGGAGCCGAUCUGAAAACCCGGUAGUCCGGAUCGCAGUCUGCAACUCAAACUGCGUGAAGUCGGAAUCGCUAGUAAUCGCGGAUGUAUGCUGAUGAAUGUUCUCCGGGUCUGCGCACCGCCCGUCACACCAUGGGAGUGGGUUUUACCAGAAGUAGUUAGCCUAACCGUAAAGGAGGGCGGAUACCACGGUAGGAUUGCUGACUGGGGGUGAAGUCGUAACAAGGUAG